rnacentral:rRNA from 1 species
GGGGAAUCUUCCGCAAUGGGCGAAAGCCUGACGGAGCAACGCCGCGUGAGUGAUGAAGGUUUUCGGACUGUAAAGCUCUGUUGUCAGGGACGAAUGCGCAGACUGUGAAUAAUUGUUUGCGUUGACGGUACCUGACGAGGAAGCCACGGCUAACUACGUGCCAGCAGCCGCGGUAAUACGUAGGUGGCAAGCGUUGUCCGGAAUUAUUGGGCGUAAAGAGCAUGUAGGCGGGCCUUUAAGUCCGACGUGAAAAUGCGGGGCUCAACCCCGUAUGGCGUUGGAAACUGUAGGUCUUGAGUGCAGGAGAGGAAAGGGGAAUUCCCAGUGUAGCGGUGAAAUGCGUAGAUAUUGGGAGGAACACCAGUGGCGAAGGCGCCUUUCUGGACUGUGUCUGACGCUGAGAUGCGAAAGCCAGGGUAGCAAACG